rnacentral:rRNA from 1 species
GGAUUGCCUCAGUAACUGCGAGUGAAGUGGCAAAAGCUCAAAUUUGAAAUCCGGUGCCUCUUGGUGCCUGAGUUGUAAUUUGGAGAGACAAAUUUGUUUGAUGGCGCCGGCCUAGGUUCCUUUGAACAGGACAACAUAGAGGGUGAGAAUCCCGUUCCUGGCCGGAUGUUCCGUCAUAUAUCUAAAUUGUCUUCGACGAGUCGAGUUGUUUGGGAAUGCAGCUCAAAAUGGGUGGUAAAUGUCAUCUAAAGCUAAAUAUUGGCGAGAGACCGAUAGCGCACAAGUAGAGUGAUCGAAAGAUGAAAAGCACUUUGAAAAGAGAGUCAAAAAGUACGUGAAAUUGCUGAAAGGGAAGCGCUUGAGACCAGACUCGAACCGUGGUGAUCAGCCGUGCUUCUGUGCGGUGUCACUUGCCACGGUUUGGGCCAGCAUCGGUUCUGGCGGUCGGAUAAAAGGUGGAGGAAUGUAGCUUCCUUCUGGGAGUGUUAAUUUAGCCACCACCACAAUGCGGCCAGCCGGGACCGAGGACCGCGCCUUCUUUGGCUAGGAUGCUGGCGUAAUGGUCUUAAGCGACCCGUCUUGAAACACGGACCAAGGAGUCUAACAUCUAUGCGAGUGUUCGGGUGGAAAAACCCUUGCGCGAAAUGAAAGUGAACGGAGGUGGGAACCCGCAAGGGUGCACCAUCGACCGAUCCUGAAGUCUUCGGAAGGAUUUGAGUAGGAGCACAGAUGUUGGGACCCGAAAGAUGGUGAACUAUGCCUGAAUAGGGUGAAGCCAGAGGAAACUCUGGUGGAGGCUCGCAGCGGUUCUGACGUGCAAAUCGAUCGUCAAAUUUGGG